GACGGGUAUCCGGCCUGAGAGGGUGAUCGGACACACUGGAACUGAGACACGGUCCAGACUCCUACGGGAGGCAGCAGUAGGGAAUAUUGCUCAAUGGGGGAAACCCUGAAGCAGCAACGCCGCGUGGAGGAUGAAGGUUUUAGGAUUGUAAACUCCUUUUGUGAGAGAAGAUUAUGACGGUAUCUCACGAAUAAGCACCGGCUAACUCCGUGCCAGCAGCCGCGGUAAUACGGAGGGUGCAAGCGUUGCUCGGAAUCACUGGGCGUAAAGAGUGCGCAGGCGGGGUGGUAAGUCAGAUGUGAAAUCCUGUAGCUUAACUACAGAACUGCAUUUGAAACUAUCACUCUA
rnacentral:rRNA from 1 species